rnacentral:rRNA from 1 species
UGCCGCGUGUGUGAAGAAGGCCUUCGGGUUGUAAAGCACUUUUGUCCGGAAAGAAAUGGCUCUGGUUAAUACCUGGGGUCGAUGACGGUACCGGAAGAAUAAGGACCGGCUAACUACGUGCCAGCAGCCGCGGUAAUACGUAGGGUCCAAGCGUUAAUCGGAAUUACUGGGCGUAAAGCGUGCGCAGGCGGUUGUGCAAGACCGAUGUGAAAUCCCCGAGCUUAACUUGGGAAUUGCAUUGGUGACUGCACGGCUAGAGUGUGUCAGAGGGGGGUAGAAUUCCACGUGUAGCAGUGAAAUGCGUAGAGAUGUGGAGGAAUACCGAUGGCGAAGGCAGCCCCCUGGGAUAACACUGACGCUCAUGCACGAAAGCGUGGGGAGCAAACAGGAUUAGAUACCCUGGUAGUCCACGCCCUAAACGAUGUCAACUAGUUGUUGGGGAUUCAUUUCCUUAGUAACGUAGCUAACGCGUGAAGUUGACCGCCUGGGGAGUACGGUCGCAAGAUUAAAACUCAAG